rnacentral:rRNA from 1 species
GCGGACGGGUGAGGAAUACAUCGGAAUUUGCCCAGUCGUGGGGGAUAACGUAGGGAAACUUACGCUAAUACCGCAUACGACCGAGAGGUGAAAGCGGGGGAUCUUCGGACCUCGCGCGAGUGGAUGAGCCGAUGUCGGAUUAGCUAGUUGGCGGGGUAAGGGCCCACCAAGGCGACGAUCCGUAGCUGGUCUGAGAGGAUGAUCAGCCACACUGGGACUGAGACACGGCCCAGACUCCUACGGGAGGCAGCAGUGGGGAAUAUUGGACAAUGGGGGCAACCCUGAUCCAGCAAUGCCGCGUGUGUGAAGAAGGCCUUCGGGUUGUAAAGCACUUUUAUCCGGAACGAAACGCGCCAGGUGAAUAGCUUGGGAACUGACGGUACCGGAGGAAUAAGCACCGGCUAACUUCGUGCCAGCAGCCGCGGUAAUACGAAGGGUGCAAGCGUAACUCGGAAUUACUGGGCGUAAAGGGUGCGUAGGCGGGUCCUUAAGUCAGGGGUGAAAUCCUGGAGCUCAAUCCAGAAAUGCCUUUGAUACUGAGGAUCUUGAGUUCGGGAGAGGUGAGUGGAAACUGCGAGUUGUACGAGGUGGAAUUU